GUAAAGAUCAACAGUAAAAGUUGCAGAAUUAAAUAGGGAAGUUCUAGAAUUUUCUCCAAUAAUAUCUGGUACAGAAAGCCUGUUCAUUCUCAUUCAUAAAGUAGACUUGGAACAUUAUAUGAGAUUAUAUUUCAGCCCUAAAUUUGUGUACUUUCACACCUAUUGGAUUCGAUACUAAAACACAUAAAUUAUAAACAUGUAUAUUUCAACAUUACAUCAUAGCUAGAAAAUAUACUGAAUUUUAUUUGACAGUUUAAUCUUUUGGAUGAGCCGUUGACCGGCAACAAGAAAAAUUAGCAAUACUAACUUCCUCUUCCUGUUGCUGCGAUGGCUGUUCUGCAAAUACCUGUGGAAGCUGCAAGAUGUUGAUUUCCAUGCAAAGCCUUGGCAAAUCAGCAGUCCUUGCUUUUUAUGCCUUAAUUUCAUCAUCUAUUCGCCCUUAAAGCUGUUUGAAUAUCUUGAUGAUUUACAGGCAUUAUUUUUUUUAGUUGUAAAAAUUUCUUUCCAAAAAACAGAAAUUGUUUCUUUUCUUGUUUCCUAUCAAUAUAAUAUUAAUUUAUAAACACACAUGUUUUUUAGUUGGCAAAUUACACAGCAAAUGCACGCAAGAAAUAUUUUUUUAAUAUAAAAGCAUUAUAUGGCAAAUAAUAUUGGGUAGGGAAGUUUCCAAGGUCCCCCUUUUUAAACCAAGGUACCUUAUGUUAACCCUAUAGCAUUUCCCCUUCAAAUAUUGAAAUCCCGAUUCGCCUUUUGUUGCAAUCCUAUGUUAGGUAUAGAGAGGGGAUUUUUCUGAACAUUAAUGAGUUAGCAGCAUAUUCAAGAGUAUGGUUUUGAGCCACCCUCAAAAUACCAUAAAAUUUGUUAUUUAAAAUGUGCAUUUUUCUGUUUAAAAGUUAUAUAAAUAACUAGUUGCAGCAAAAGGUUGUAUCAUGCAAAUUUUGAAGUUUGAAUUAGAUAUUUCUUUUCACCAGACUCUACAAAGUUUACUUUUCAGUUUCUUUCGAGAAAAUUUCUUUUCAUAAAAUUUCAGUCUUUUUGACCUAAAACUUCAAGAAUUUAAAAUUGAUGCUAUACCUAUUCAUUCUUUAUUCAUGUUUGUUUCAUCCAUAUUAUAGCUAUAAUACUUUGGGAAUCUUGGAAAAACACUGAAUUUCGAGAGCCAUAUAUGUUGAAGACUAAUAUAUUCCUAUCUGGACAAAGAUUCCCAGGAAAAAAAGAAAAAAAAAAAAAAAGGAAAAAUCAUUUGAAUGAACCAACUACUUGAAAAUCAUCUGAGGUUAAGUACAAGUAAGAUGCAUGAAACAUCAAACAAAUCCUUCCCUUUUCUUUCCCUUUCUUAAGGUACAAGGAAAAUCAACCAGAAAACUAUAUAUUUUUGAACCACUCACACUCAGCUUGUGAAGAUCAUAUGACCUAAUCAGAUUCUAUGAAACGAAGAUCAGAACACAUAUAGCUUUCUUCCCUCCAGGCGAGAAGGUAAGAAAUUAAACGAUAAAAAGCUAUGAAUUGUAUCUCGUAUCAGUCUAAUUAACAUAUGAAGUUUCUGCAUAUAUGAUGAGUUGUA
rnacentral:lncRNA from 1 species